rnacentral:ncRNA from 2 species
AAAAUAAACGGUGAUGGUGUUCGCCAUUAAAUGCAAGUAUUGCUGAUGACACCUGUUGAAGC